rnacentral:rRNA from 1 species
UACAGGGGGGGCAAGCGUUGUUCGGAAUUACUGGGCGUAAAGGGUUCGUAGGUGGCCACCUAAGUCAGACGUGAAAUCCCUCAGCUUAACUGGGGAGCUGCGUCUGAUACUGGGUGGCUUGAGUGCAGGAGAGGAAUGCGGAAUUCCAGGUGUAGCGGUGAAAUGCGUAGAUAUCUGGAGGAACACCGGUGGCGAAGGCGGCAUUCUGGACUGUAACUGACGCUGAGACGCGAAAUCGUGGGGAGCAAACAGG